AUUGAACGCUGGCGGCAUGCCUUACACAUGCAAGUCGAACGGCAGCACGGGUGCUUGCACCUGGUGGCGAGUGGCGAACGGGUGAGUAAAGCAUCGGAACGUACCGUGAAGUGGGGGAUAACGUAGCGAAAGUUACGCUAAUACCGCAUAUUCUGUGAGCAGGAAAGAGGGGGAUCGCAAGACCUCUUGCUUUACGAGCGGCCGAUGUCGGAUUAGCUAGUUGGUGAGGUAAAGGCUCACCAAGGCGACGAUCCGUAGCGGGUCUGGGAGGAUGAUCCGCCACACAGGGAAUGAGACACGGCCCAGACUCCUACGGGAGGCAGAAGUGGGGAAUUUUGGACAAUGGGCGCAAGCCUGAUCCAGCCAUGCCGCGUGAGUGAAAAAGGCCUUCGGGUUGUAAAGCUCUUUCGGCGGGGAAGAAAUGGCGCUUUCUAAUACAGAGCGUUGAUGACGGUACCCGCAUAAGAAGCACCGGCUAACUACGUGCCAGCAGCCGCCGUAACAC
rnacentral:rRNA from 1 species